ACAACGGAGAGUUUGAUCCUGGCUCAGGAUGAACGCUGGCGGCGUGCUUAACACAUGCAAGUCGAACGAACCUUCGGGUUAGUGGCGGACGGGUGAGUAACGCGUGGGAAUCUGCCCUCAGGAGGGGGAUAACGGCCGGAAACGGCCGCUAAUACCCCAUAUGCCGAGAGGUGAAAUGAAUUUCGCCUGAGGAUGAGCCCGCGUCUGAUUAGCUAGUUGGUGAGGUAAGAGCUCACCAAGGCAUCGAUCAGUAGCUGGUCUGAGAGGAUGAUCAGCCACACUGGGACUGAGACACGGCCCAGACUCCUACGGGAGGCAGCAGUGGGGAAUUUUCCGCAAUGGGCGAAAGCCUGACGGAGCAACGCCGCGUGAGGGAUGAAGGCCUCUGGGCUGUAAACCUCUUUUAUCAAGGAAGAAGAUCUGACGGUACUUGAUGAAUAAGCCACGGCUAAUUCCGUGCCAGCAGCCGCGGUAAUACGGGAGUGGCAAGCGUUAUCCGGAAUUAUUGGGCGUAAAGCGUCCGCAGGCGGCCCAACAAGUCUGCUGUUAAAAAGUGGAGCUUAACUCCAUCAUGGCAGUGGAAACUGUUGGGCUAGAGUGUGGUAGGGGCAGAGGGAAUUCCCGGUGUAGCGGUGAAAUGCGUAGAUAUCGGGAAGAACACCAGUGGCGAAGGCGCUCUGCUGGGCCAUCACUGACGCUCAUGGACGAAAGCCAGGGGAGCGAAAGGGAUUAGAUACCCCUGUAGUCCUGGCCGUAAACGAUGAACACUAGGUGUCGGGGGAAUCGACCCCUCCGGUGUCGUAGCCAACGCGUUAAGUGUUCCGCCUGGGGAGUACGCACGCAAGUGUGAAACUCAAAGGAAUUGACGGGGGCCCGCACAAGCGGUGGAGUAUGUGGUUUAAUUCGAUGCAACGCGAAGAACCUUACCAGGGUUUGACAUCCUGCGAAUCUCUUGGAAACUUGAGAGUGCCUUCGGGAACGCAGUGACAGGUGGUGCAUGGCUGUCGUCAGCUCGUGUCGUGAGAUGUUGGGUUAAGUCCCGCAACGAGCGCAACCCACGUCUUUAGUUGCCAGCAUUUAGUUGGGCACUCUAGAGAGACCGCCGGUGAUAAACCGGAGGAAGGUGUGGAUGACGUCAAGUCAUCAUGCCCCUUACAUCCUGGGCUACACACGUACUACAAUGCUACGGACAAAGGGCAGCAAGUUCGCGAGGACAAGCAAAUCCCAUAAACCGUAGCUCAGUUCAGAUCGUAGGCUGCAACUCGCCUACGUGAAGGAGGAAUCGCUAGUAAUCGCAGGUCAGCAUACUGCGGUGAAUACGUUCCCGGGCCUUGUACACACCGCCCGUCACACCAUGGAAGUUGGCCAUGCCCGAAGCCGUUACUCCAACCCUUGUGGAGGAGGACGUCGAAGGUGGGGCUGAUGACUGGGGUGAAGUCGUAACAAGGUAGCCGUACCGGAAGGUGCGGCUGGAUCACCUCCUAA
rnacentral:rRNA from 1 species